rnacentral:rRNA from 1 species
CCUACGGGUUGCACCAGUAGGGAAUCUUCGGCAAUGGACGAAAGUCUGACCGAGCAACGCCGCGUGAGUGAAGAAGGUUUUCGGAUCGUAAAACUCUGUUGGUAGAGAAGAACGUCGGAGAGAGUGGAAAGCUCAUCAAGUGACGGUAACUACCCAGAAAGGGACGGCUAACUACGUGCCAGCAGCCGCGGUAAUACGUAGGUCCCGAGCGUAGUCCGGAUUUAUUGGGCGUAAAGCGAGCGCAGGUGGUUUAUUAAGUCUGGUGUAAAAGGCAGUGGCUCAACCAUUGUAUGCAUUGGAAACUGGUAGACUUGAGUGCAGGAGACGAGAGCGGAAUUCCAUGUGUAGCGGUGAAGUGCGUAGAUAUAUGGAGGAACACCGGUGGCGAAAGCGGCUCUCUGGCCUGUAACUGACACUGAGGCUCGAAAGCGUGGGGAGCAAACAGGAUUAGAUACCCCUGUAGUC